UACAGAGGGGGCAAGCGUUGUUCGGAAUUACUGGGCGUAAAGGGUCUGUAGGUGGCUUGCUAAGUCAGACGUGAAAUCCCUCGGCUUAACCGGGGAACUGCAUCUGAUACUGGAUGGCUUGAGAUUGGGAGAGGGAUGCGGAAUUCCAGGUGUAGCGGUGAAAUGCGUAGAUAUCUGGAGGAACACCGGUGGCGAAGGCGGCAUCCUGGACCAACACUGACGCUGAGGAGCGAAAGCCAGGGGAGCAAACGGG
rnacentral:rRNA from 1 species